rnacentral:rRNA from 1 species
ACUCAAAUGAAUAGACGGGGACCCGCACAAGCGGUGGAGCAUGUUGUUUAAUUCGAAGCAACGCGAAGAACCUUACCUACCCUUGACAUACCAAGUAUGAUUUCCAGAGAUGGAUUUCUUCAGUUCGGCUGGCUUGGAUACAGGUGCUGCAUGGCUGUCGUCAGCUCGUGUCGUGAGAUGUUGGGUUAAGUCCCGCAACGAGCGCAACCCUUGUCGUCUGUUGCCAUCAUUAAGUUGGGCACUCUGACGAGACCGCCGGUGACAAGCCGGAGGAAGGUGGGGACGACGUCAAGUCAUCAUGGCCCUUACGGGUAGGGCUACAAACGUGCUACAAUGGCGGUGACAGUGGGCAGCGACUCCGCAAGGGGAAGCUAAUCCCAAAAAGCCGUCUCAGUUCGGAUUGUCCUCUGCAACUCGAGGGCAUGAAGCUGGAAUCGCUAGUAAUCGUGGAUCAGCAUGCCACGGUGAAUACGUUCCCGGGUCUUGUACACACCGCCCGU